rnacentral:rRNA from 1 species
AUUGAACGCUGGCGGCAGGCUUAACACAUGCAAGUCGAGCGGAGAUGAGGUGCUUGCACCUUAUCUUAGCGGCGGACGGGUGAGUAAUGCUUAGGAAUCUGCCUAUUAGUGGGGGACAACAUUCCGAAAGGAAUGCUAAUACCGCAUACGUCCUACGGGAGAAAGCAGGGGAUCUUCGGACCUUGCGCUAAUAGAUGAGCCUAAGUCGGAUUAGCUAGUUGGUGGGGUAAAGGCCUACCAAGGCGACGAUCUGUAGCGGGUCUGAGAGGAUGAUCCGCACACUGGGACUGAGACACGGCCCAGACUCCUACGGGAGGCAGCAGUGGGGAAUAUUGGACAAUGGGGGGAACCCUGAUCCAGCCAUGCCGCGUGUGUGAAGAAGGCCUUAUGGUUGUAAAGCACUUUAAGCGAGGAGGAGGCUACUGAGACUAUACUCUUGGAUAGUGGACGUUACUCGCAGAAUAAGCACCGGCUAACUCUGUGCCAGCCGCCGCCGUAAGAC